AUGAGGCUGUUGGUGCUGUGGCAUUGGAGACGGCCCCGGGAAACUGCACGCUGCUGCCAUCGCCCCCACCACGGCCAGGAGGGAGUCUUCCCUGCCCCGCCUCUGGGUGGCAUUGCUUCCAGAAUCCACAUCCCAGACUGCACACCCCCUCCAGCCGGUCACGCUGCAAAUAUAGGUUCCUGUCAUGGGGAAUAUUGGGAAAAAUAUGAAUUCGAACGUGUCACUCUGGGAAAGAUGAUUCGAGACACAGAUUGGCAGGAGGAAUGGACAAUGACAUCCAUAUGUGUUUAUUACAGUAGUAAAGAAUGGUUGCUAUGACUGUCACAGGAACUAGGAACUUCUCCCGAGCUCUGCUAAAGCCAUUGAAAAAAGAAAAACAAUCUAAUAUGCCGGGAAUAAAAGCAAGCGCGGCUCAUUCCUCAUCAACUACUCCAACUGAGGCUUCUCCACAUCUGUCAGCUGAGGGAUUCCAUUGUCUAGCUGCAGUCCACCGAGACUCCUCGAGUGUAAUGCCAUUACAAGGAAUUAAAAAAAAAAAAAAAAAACACAUUGUUGAAUUUGGUAUAGUUUGAGUGGCCAAUGGGUUUGUCUUUGAAGCAUUAUUUCAAGUGGUUACGUUUU
rnacentral:lncRNA from 1 species